GGGACACGUGGUAUCCUGUCUGAAUAUGGGGGGACCAUCCUCCAAGGCUAAAUACUCCUGACUGACCGAUAGUGAACCAGUACCGUGAGGGAAAGGCGAAAAGAACCCCGGCGAGGGGAGUGAAAAAGAACCUGAAACCGUGUACGUACAAGCAGUGGGAGCACCCUUUGGGGUGUGACUGCGUACCUUUUGUAUAAUGGGUCAGCGACUUAUAUUCUGUAGCAAGGUUAACCGAAUAGGGGAGCCGGAGGGAAACCGAGUCUUAAUUGGGCGUUAAGUUGCAGGGUAUAGACCCGAAACCCGGUGAUCUAGCCAUGGGCAGGUUGAAGGUUGGGUAACACUAACUGGAGGACCGAACCGACUAAUGUUGAAAAAUUAGCGGAUGACCUGUGGCUGGGGGUGAAAGGCCAAUCAAACCGGGAGAUAGCUGGUUCUCCCCGAAAGCUAUUUAGGUAGCGCCUCGUGAAUUCAUCUCCGGGGGUAGAGCACUGUUUCGGCUAGGGGGCCAUCCCGGCUUACCAACCCGAUGCAAACUGCGAAUACCGGAGAAUGUUAUCACGGGAGACACACGGCGGGUGCUAACGUCCGUCGUGAAGAGGGAAACAACCCAGACCGCCAGCUAAGGUCCCAAAGUCAUGGUUAAGUGGGAAACGAUGUGGGAAGGCCCAGACAGCCAGGAUGUUGGCUUAGAAGCAGCCAUCAUUUAAAGAAAGCGUAAUAGCUCACUGGUCGAGUCGGCCUGCGCGGAAGAUGUAACGGGGCUAAACCAUGCACCGAAGCUGCGGCAGCGAACGUAUCACCCAAGACAACUUUGCGGAGUUGACGAUUGACGGAGCGAAGCGACGUCAAAGCGUUCAUUAAAGUCGAGUUGGCUUAGGGAUACGUUCGUUGGGUAGGGGAGCGUUCUGUAAGCCAGUGAAGGUGUGUCGUGAGGCAUGCUGGAGGUAUCAGAAGUGCGAAUGCUGACAUAAGUAACGAUAAAGCGGGUGAAAAGCCCGCUCGCCGGAAGACCAAGGGUUCCUGUCCAACGUUAAUCGGGGCAGGGUGAGUCGACCCCUAAGGCGAGGCCGAAAGGCGUAGUCGAUGGGAAACGGGUUAAUAUUCCCGUACUUGGUGUUACUGCGAAGGGGGGACGGAGAAGGCUAUGUUGGCCGGGCGACGGUUGUCCCGGUUUAAGCGUGUAGGUGUGUGUUCCAGGUAAAUCCGGUU
rnacentral:rRNA from 1 species